ensembl:lncRNA
CGUUUUUCUAAGAAAAUUAAGCAAAGCGGCUCACGUAAUUUUUACUUAAUUUUUAAAUUACUUAAAUUUUAGCUUUCUUUGCUUAAUCUGUCAGCCUUGUUGUAAAUUACAUCCGUUCAGCAGCAUAACUUAGAAAGCCACAGAAUCAUGAAUGUAGCCAUCACAAAGAUACCUAAGUGUGACUUUCAAAAUGCUGGCAUCCAGUCUUGUGCUGUAUAUUCACUGUUGUGUAAUCUCUCCUUCUACCCUCUACUCUCAAAUCUAAAGAGUGUGCUUGCCCUUAAACCUCACUAACUCUGCUUCACCCUGACUCAUCUUAAAUUGUUGUCUGUAGUGUAGUCAAAGUCCAAGCUUUAUUUGAGUUUAGGUGCCUAAGGGAGGAGGGGCUUCUUAGGCUGUUGGCAGCAGUGCUGGACCCAUUUUCCCAGGGCGCCCAGCAGGGUUCAGAGUUUGAUGCCUCUGGUAAGCGAGUGCUGCCCCACUCUUCUUGAGACACCUAUUUGUACUUGCCUUUUUGUUACCUCAGCAUCUGUUGAUGCUCAAUGCCAAGCUUCCCUUAUUCAUAGGAGAUCAAACAUUAUAAUAUGGGCUGGCAACAUGGCUCAGUGGAUAAGAGCACCUGUCCUCAAACCUGACUCCUGACUUGGAUCCCAGGGAUUCACACAGUGGAAGAAGAGAACUGACACCCACAGGUUUUCCUCCAACCUCCGACAAUUGAUGCUGGUCAGCUGGAGCUGAGAGAUCAGAUGUUACAAAGAAGAGGCCAGUAUCAUUAAGAUGAAAUCUGAAAUUUUCUGGGUUAUCACACAGAAGCUGUGGUCCAUGGUGAUCAACCAAACCUGGUAAUGUGUAAGAAUCUCCCAUAUGGUUCUGGGUUUGUGGCAUAAAGGCUGAAAGAUUGAAGGGGUUGUGGAGAGCGUUGGAAGCUUGGCAUUGUGAGAUCCCAGGGGGAGGGGUCGUCCGUAAAUGUGCUGCCUCUGAUACAGCAGAGUACCUCAGGAUUAAUGGCACUAUGUGGCAGGAUUGGAGUCUGUACAAGAGGCCAGGAAGACACUGGUAAAGGCACUGCCUCAGUCUGAGUAAAGACUCCAGCAUCAUGGAGAUGCCAGGUCUGUGGGAUAACCACCAAAACCGACAGUGUGUUUGGAGUGGAGCUUGAGCCUGCUUGAGCCUACAAGACAAGCUGAGUGUCCUGUGGAUAGGCAGAGCCAGAGAAGGGAAGCUGACCAAGCCCUUUGGAGCCUGAAGAUCGCUAUUGAAUCCCGGGUGACAGAUAUGGAGCUACUCAAUUUGUUAUUCUGCUGAAUGUUGAUUUUGCCUUGUUUUGAAUGUAACUGUACCCAUCUUCUUCCCUCUUGGAGUAAGGAAGUAUUUAAUUUACUUUUAUUUAUCAGGGACCCAAAGUUGAGAGACUUUGGACUUUUUUUUUUAAAGAGAUAUUGGGUAAAGAAACUGAACUUUUAAAGUGUUUAAAAUUUUUAAAGACUGUGGGACUUUUAAAGUUAUACUGUAUUUUAUAUUAACAUGACAUCUUGGGGAUAAACAAGAAAGAAAGGAAAGGUUAUGGUUUAAUAGUGAUGAGUUUUGUGACAAAUUGACAAGGGUCAAUUAUGCUAGUGAGUUUCUUGUCAACUUGAUAUAAGCUAGGUUCAUCUAGGAAAAGGGAACAUCAAAUGAGAAAUGCCUCUAUCAGAUUGACCUAUGUGCAAGUCUGUUGAGUAUUUUUGGGAUUGCUGAUUAAUUGUGAAGGCCUAGUCUACCGUAGUUAGUGUGACCCCUAGGUUAUGUAAGAAAGUAGGCUGAGCAAGCCAUGGGAAGCAAGCCAGAAAGCAGUACUCUUCCAUGGCCUCUUCAUCAGUUCCUGAUUCUAAGUUCCUGCUUUAACUUCCUUCUGUGACUUCCCUCAGAUAUGAACUACAAGCUAUAAGAUGAAAUGAACCCUUUCCUCGCCAGUUGCUCUUUGUCAUGUUGUCUUUAUUCUAGCAACAGAAAGAGAAUGGUAACAGCCCCCUUUCUGUUCUUCCUUUUCAACUCACCACUUUUUUUUUUUCUUUUUGUCUUCUUAAGGCAUUUUCAAUUCUAUUAUUCAUUCUUGAGAUCUUUUAGUUUUUCAUUUUGGAAUAUUUCUAGUUCAGAAACACUACCAUUUCUUGCUCUUCUGGGCCUUUGUACUCUCUUUGAAGAAGUAGUUUUGAUCUGCUUGUGGGCCUGUCUCUCUGGUAUGUUUUGUCAUCUGUAGGAAUGUUGCUUCCUUCUUAUUCCCUUUCAUUACAACUCUUUUCAUUUCUUUGUUGUACAUGUGUGCAUGCACGCAUGUGUGUGAGUGUGUGUGUGUGUGUGUGUGUGUGUGUGUGUGUG